UCCUGGCUCAGGACGAACGCUGGCGGCGUGCCUAAUACAUGCAAGUCGAGCGAACAGAAAAGGAGCUUGCUCCUUUGACGUUAGCGGCGGACGGGUGAGUAACACGUGGGCAACCUACCCUAUAGUUUGGGAUAACUCCGGGAAACCGGGGCUAAUACCGAAUAAUCUCUUUUGCUUCAUGGUGAAAGACUGAAAGACGGUUUCGGCUGUCGCUAUAGGAUGGGCCCGCGGCGCAUUAGCUAGUUGGUGAGGUAACGGCUCACCAAGGCGACGAUGCGUAGCCGACCUGAGAGGGUGAUCGGCCACACUGGGACUGAGACACGGCCCAGACUCCUACGGGAGGCAGCAGUAGGGAAUCUUCCACAAUGGGCGAAAGCCUGAUGGAGCAACGCCGCGUGAGUGAAGAAGGUUUUCGGAUCGUAAAACUCUGUUGUAAGGGAAGAACAAGUACAGUAGUAACUGGCUGUACCUUGACGGUACCUAUUAGAAAGCC
rnacentral:rRNA from 1 species